GCAAGCCUGAUGCAGCGACGCCGCGUGCGGGAUGGAGGCCUUCGGGUUGUAAACCGCUUUUGUUUGGGAGCAAGCCCUUCGGGGUGAGUGUACCUUUCGAAUAAGCACCGGCUAACUACGUGCCAGCAGCCGCGGUAAUAA
rnacentral:rRNA from 1 species